rnacentral:rRNA from 1 species
UACGUAGGGGGCUAGCGUUAUCCGGAAUUACUGGGCGUAAAGGGUGCGUAGGCGGUCUUUCAAGCCAGAAGUGAAAGGCUACGGCUCAACCGUAGUAAGCUUUUGGAACUGUGAGACUUGAGUGCAGGAGAGGAGAGUGGAAUUCCUAGUGUAGCGGUGAAAUGCGUAGGUAUUAGGAGGAACACCAGUAGCGAAGGCGGCUCUCUGGACUGUAACUGACGCUGAGGCACGAAAGCGUGGGGAGCAAACAGGAUUAGAUACCCUGGUAGUCCACGCCGUAAACGAUGAGUACUAGGUGUCGGGGGUUACCCCCUCGUGCGCAGCUACGCAUAAGUACUCCGCCUGGAAGUACGCUCGCAAGAGUGAAACUACAAAAAUUAA